GCUGUCCUGCAGGAAGGCCAAACAGUCCCAAGCUUCCAACCACUCGGACGUUGCAGGUCAAAAAUCGUCGCAAUUUUCCAGCCUUUUUUGCCUUGUAUGUGCCGUUCCAGUUUCAGGUCGAAAAGCGCACUUCUUUCCAGUUUCCAGUGUAGCCUUAGUCUUCGCCCUGUAGAGUUCUUUUUCUAGGCACAAAGCGCCAAAACCUCUUGGAAUAAAAAGUUUCACACAUUGAAGAAAACGUUAGCCGUCAGCACUCUCGGCUUCUUAGACAAUCAGAAAAAGAGUGGAUUUUUAUAGUUAUUUUUUUACGAGGGUAUUUCAUGUACGAGGCUAUAAGAAUAACCGGUGUUUUUGAAAAAGGCCCAUUGGUAAGCAUUGGGUUCGAGUUCAGGGCCGAUGGAUUCGAACCAGGGACCUUUGCCUUAUAAUGAGCGCCGUGUCACCGCCUAAACCACCACUCCCCAAUGUCUUGAUGCACUCAGCACCAGCACGAAGCCUCUUCAGAAAAAAGGAGGCAAGUUUGCCCAAGUUGAGCGGAGCGGAAUUGGAAAUUUUUGAACAGUAACAUUUAGGACAAAAGAAUUACAUUGAUUCGCUUGUGGAUAUGAAGCCAAAAGUUGCUAGACGUGUCCCUCAUAAUAGAUGGUUGUCAUGCCUAUGGCUCCAUAUAGAAAGCGUGUAGGCAUGAGAUUGGUUCUCGAGCAUCGUAGCGGAUUUCUCGAUCCACGUUCCGGUUUUCAGAGG